UCCGUGGUGGUCCAGUGGCUAAGACUCUGCACUCCCAGUGCAGGGGGCCUGGGUUCAAGUCCUGGUCAGGGGA
rnacentral:tRNA from 1 species